GGAGGCGUCGCAUAGAGGCCUAGUGCGCCCGCCUGCUAAGUGGGUUGGGGGUUAGUACCCCCUCGCGGGUUCAAAUCCCGCCGCCUCCGCCA
rnacentral:tRNA from 1 species